rnacentral:rRNA from 1 species
AUUGAACGCUGGCGGCAGGCCUAACACAUGCAAGUCGAGCGGUAGAGAGGUGCUUGCACCUCUUGAGAGCGGCGGACGGGUGAGUAAUGCCUAGGAAUCUGCCUGGUAGUGGGGGAUAACGCUCGGAAACGGACGCUAAUACCGCAUACGUCCUACGGGAGGAAGCAGGGGACCUUCGGGCCUUGCGCUAUCGGAUGAGCCUAGGUCGGAUUAGCUAGUUGGGGAGGUAAUGGCUCACCAAGGCGACGAUCCGUAACUGGUCUGAGCGGAUGAUCAGUCACACUGGAACGGAGACACGGUCCAGACUCCUACGGGAGGCAGCAGUGGGGAAUAUUGGACAAUGGGCGAAAGCCUGAUCCAGCCAUGCCGCGUGUGUGAAGAAGGUCUUCGGAUUGUAAAGCACUUUAAGUUGGGAGGAAGGGUCGUUACCUAAUACGUGACGAUUUUGACGUUACCGACAGAAUAAGCACCGGCUAACUCUGUGCCAGCCGCCGCGGUAAAAC